CCUACGGGAGGCUGCAGUGGGGAAUAUUGGACAAUGGGCGAAAGCCUGAUCCAGCCAUGCCGCGUGUGUGAAGAAGGCCUUCGGGUUGUAAAGCACUUUCAGUGGGGAAGAAAGCCUUGGGGCUAAUACCCUCGAGGAAGGACAUCACCCACAGAAGAAGCACCGGCUAACUCCGUGCCAGCAGCCGCGGUAAUACGGAGGGUGCGAGCGUUAAUCGGAAUUACUGGGCGUAAAGCGCGCGUAGGCGGUCUGAUAAGCCGGUUGUGAAAGCCCCGGGCUCAACCUGGGAACGGCAUCCGGAACUGUCAGGCUAGAGUGCAGGAGAGGAAGGUAGAAUUCCCGGUGUAGCGGUGAAAUGCGUAGAGAUCGGGAGGAAUACCAGUGGCGAAGGCGGCCUUCUGGACUGACACUGACGCUGAGGUGCGAAAGCGUGGGUAGCAAACAGGACUAGAUACCCUAGUAGUC
rnacentral:rRNA from 1 species